UGAAAACUUAUUGGUGUUCCUUAAAAAGAAAAAGCAACAAAUCCAACAUUUGGAACAGACGGCAUCUUGAGGAGAGAAGAAGAAAGUCAAUAAGAAAUAAAACUAACCCAGUGGACUCAGUAAAGCCAAGAGGGCAGAAAUGACGUCUAAUGUUGAAACCGAGGAUGAGACCAUCAGUGGAAAGUCAGGAAACCCUCACGCUUUGAAAGUGACAGGGAAAGACCAGACCUUGACCACGAUGAAGACGAUUCGGACAGCUUGGUGUCAAAAAUAAGUCAAUAAGAAACCAACCUGCACCCCCCAGCAUCAACGCCACGAGCGCCUCAGUGUAAACACGGAACAUGAUGCGUUUCAUCUAGAUUGUUGCUGUGUGAAUCGCAUCCUGAAGGGAAAACAUUGGAGUUCACUUUGAGUGUCUUAUCUGAUGAUAAAUUAUAAGACGCUAUUGCAAUCUCUAUUUGGUUUGGAAGGAAUACCAAGGUUGCAGAUAUCGUAAAGUACAGAUCAUUUUGUGUACGUGGACGGCGGCUUCCAUGUUUCCCUGUUUAGAAUUCAGGAAGUACUCAAAUGUUAAGAUCGGUAUCUCUUCAUCAAAGGAGUCCUGCCUCAGAGAGACCACGGCAUGCAGUUAAAACACAAUGAAGCAGCAUGUUUUGAUGCAGGAGUGGCUAACGAUUGCUCAACAUGCUUGCAUUUCCUUUACAUAUUGAAUUCUGUUGGCAAAUCUUGUGCGUAGCCUCUUGAGUGGGUAAUACAGGGAACGAAGGCAUUGUAUUAUCUUGUAAAUGGUGUAGACUGAUUUGGCCUUUGCUUGUGUUUGAAAACCAUUUUUUUCUGUCUGAAAGGUGAGAUAUUGGUAUAUUGGUA